UCGUGGCAGCAGAGUAAUGGAAUAUAAAAUGCGAGUUUCUGGAGCUGGGGCAUCGGAGGGGCCCUCAGCAAGUUGGAUUUCUGGAGCAAACCAAACCCACAGCAGAGGCAAAAACCUUCCAGAAACAGCUGAAGUGCUGUAUCAGAGAAUCAGUCCAAGUGAUUUCCUACAAUCAUUUGAGGGAAAACAGCUCCGUGGCUUGGAAGAGUGGCUGAUGGAGACUUCAAAGCAAGCUGGGAGCAGGAUGGUGCUGUAGCUUCCAGAGCUUCAUGAGCUUCACUUUCUUCGAGUUUUGACUGUGAAUUUGGAGCUACUGCCUUUGAUUUAAUAAAAAAAAAGAGGAAAAAAAUAGG